UGCUUACCAUGCAAGUCGAACGAUGACCCCGGUGCUUGCACCGGGUGAUUAGUGGCGAACGGGUGAGUAACACGUGAGUAACCUGCCCCCGACUCUGGGAUAAGCCCGGGAAACUGGGUCUAAUACCGGAUAUUCACUUCCUUCCGCAUGGAAGGUGGUGGAAAGAUUUAUCGGUGGGGGAUGGACUCGCGGCCUAUCAGCUUGUUGGUGGGGUAAUGGCCCACCAAGGCGACGACGGGUAGCCGGCCUGAGAGGGUGACCGGCCACACUGGGACUGAGACACGGCCCAGACUCCUACGGGAGGCAGCAGUGGGGAAUAUUGCACAAUGGGCGAAAGCCUGAUGCAGCGACGCCGCGUGAGGGAUGACGGCCUUCGGGUUGUAAACCUCUUUCAGUAGGGAAGAAGCGAAAGUGACGGUACCUGCAGAAGAAGCGCCGGCUAACUACGUGCCAGCAGCCGCGGUAAUACGUAGGGCGCAAGCGUUAUCCGGAAUUAUUGGGCGUAAAGAGCUCGUAGGCGGUUUGUCGCGUCUGCCGUGAAAGUCCGGGGCUCAACCCCGGAUCUGCGGUGGGUACGGGCAGACUAGAGUGAUGUAGGGGAGACUGGAAUUCCUGGUGUAGCGGUGAAAUGCGCAGAUAUCAGGAGGAACACCGAUGGCGAAGGCAGGUCUCUGGGCAUUAACUGACGCUGAGGAGCGAAAGCAUGGGGAGCGAACAGGAUUAGAUACCCUGGUAGUCCAUGCCGUAAACGUUGGGCACUAGAUGUGGGGGACAUUCCACGUUUUCCGCGUCGUAGCUAACGCAUUAAGUGCCCCGCCUGGGGAGUACGGCCGCAAGGCUAA
rnacentral:rRNA from 1 species